UCCGAGUUGACCCCGGCAGUCUUCGAUGAGUCCCCGCCAUAACGCGCUGGCAACAUCGAACGAGGGUUGCGCUCGUUGCGGGACUUAACCCAACAUCUCACGACACGAGCUGACGACAGCCAUGCACCACCUGUGCACCGGCCCCGAAGGGCUGCCGUAUUUCUACGACAUUCCAGUGCAUGUCAAGCCUAGGUAAGGUUCUUCGCGUUGCGUCGAAUUGAACCACAUGCUCCGCUGCUUGUGCGGGCCCCCGUCAAUUCCUUUGAGUUUCAAUCUUGCGAUCGUACUUCCCAGGUGGGAUACUUAAUGCUUUCGCUCAGACACUUACAGUUUAUCGCAAAUGUCGAGUAUCCAUAGUUUAGGGCGUGGACUAC
rnacentral:misc_RNA from 1 species